rnacentral:lncRNA from 1 species
CCUAGUGAGAUGAACCCGUUCUCACCUUGAUGAUUUUAUAAAUACCUGUGCAAUCAUUUAAGGAUGCUGUUAUAACUUGCUAUCACAGGAUUCAGGUCCAAGAACCCUCUCUUAGGAUCUGCACUGGGACCUACCCCUUUUUGGCAACAUGUUCUUGGCAACCACGAAGGGACUAUCCUGAGGAGAUCCCUGACCCAAAGGAAAUAGACUGCAGAACCAAUUGGCUGACUUUGGCGGGUCAAAGAAUAUGUGAGAUUCCCCACACAUUUAUGCCACAGGAGGAGAAAAGCCUGCCUAGGGGUGUUUUAACUUAUGCCCAGAAGUACCACCUGGAAGAGGCAACGAGACUUUAUUCAUAAGAAUCUAAGUGGAGCAUUCUCCCAGACAACCAGCGGCGGAGCAAGGAGGGGCUGGCCAAACAGUGACGUUGACUGGUGCAUGAGACGAACAGAGGCUCACAGAAGAGCCUCUGAAGAGCCCACAAAAAAUGUCCAUAAGAGUGUGGCAUUGCACCCUGUAGGUCAAAAAUGUGGACAAUCUGGCUAAGAAGAGAGCAAGACAG